AGAGUUUGAUCCUGGCUCAGGAUGAACGCUGGCGGCGUGCUUAACACAUGCAAGUCGAACGAAGCACUUUAUUUGAUUUCUUCGGAAUGAAGAUUUAGUGACUGAGUGGCGGACGGGUGAGUAACGCGUGGGCAACCUGCCUCAUACAGGGGGAUAACAGUUGGAAACGACUGCUAAUACCGCAUAAGCGCACAGUACCGCAUGGUACGGUGUGAAAAACUCCGGUGGUAUGAGAUGGGCCCGCGUCUGAUUAGCCAGUUGGCGGGGUAACGGCCCACCAAAGCGACGAUCAGUAGCCGACCUGAGAGGGUGACCGGCCACAUUGGGACUGAGACACGGCCCAAACUCCUACGGGAGGCAGCAGUGGGGAAUAUUGCACAAUGGGGGAAACCCUGAUGCAGCGACGCCGCGUGAGCGAAGAAGUAUUACGGUAUGUAAAGCUCUAUCAGCAGGGAAGAAGAAUGACGGUACCCUGACUAAGAAGCACCGGCUAAAUACGUGCCAGCAGCCGCGGUAAUACGGUAUGGUGCAAGGCGUUAUCCGGAUUUACUGGGUGUAAAGGGAGCGCAGGCGGAAGGCUAAGUCUGAUGUGAAAGCCCGGGGCUCAACCCCGGUACUGCAUUGGAAACUGGUCAUCUAGAGUGUCGAGGGGUAAGUGGAAUUUCCUAGUGUAGCCGGUGAAAUUCCGUAGAUAUUAGGAGGAACACUCAGUGGCGAAGGGCGGCUUACUGGACGAUUACCUGACGCUGAGCCUCGUAAUGACUGGGGGAGGCAAACAGGAUUAGGAAUACCCUUGGUAA
rnacentral:rRNA from 1 species